rnacentral:rRNA from 1 species
UACAGAGGGUGCGAACGUUGCUCGGAAUUACUGGGCGUAAAGCGCGUGUAGGCGGAUUGCUAAGUCGGGCGUGAAAGCCCCAGGCUCAACCUGGGAACUGCGCUCGAAACUGGCAGUCUUGAGUAUCGGAGAGGGUGGCGGAAUUCCUGGUGUAGAGGUGAAAUUCGUAGAUAUCAGGAGGAACACCGGUGGCGAAGGCGGCCACCUGGACGAUCACUGACGCUGAGACGCGAAAGCGUGGGGAGCAAACAGG